rnacentral:rRNA from 1 species
UGGGGAAUCUUGCGCAAUGGGCGAAAGCCUGACGCAGCGACGCCGCGUGGGGGAUGAAGCUUCUCGGAGUGUAAACCCCUUUCGACCCGGACGAAACGCCCGCAAGGGCUUGACGGUACGGGUAUAAGAAGCCCCGGCUAACUACGUGCCAGCAGCCGCGGUAAGACGUAGGGGGCCAGCGUUGCUCGGAAUUACUGGGCGUAAAGGGUUCGUAGGCGGUGCGGCAAGUCGGGAGUGAAAUCUCUGGGCUUAACCCAGAGGCUGCUUCCGAAACUGCCGUGCUAGAGUGCGGGAGAGGCGAGUGGAAUUGCAGGUGUAGCGGUGAAAUGCGUAGAUAUCUGCAGGAACACCCGUGGCGAAGGCGGCUCGCUGGACCGCAACUGACGCUGAGGAACGAAAGCGUGGGGAGCGAACAGG